rnacentral:lncRNA from 1 species
AAUCCUAUGGCUAGGAACGUUUUAGUAAUGAAUCUAAGAGAAAGGUCUCGAUAAUCUAACUCAUUAGAUCACUUAUCUCUUAGAACAAAUACAUUCCUUGGAUUCCCUUAUUGCUUAAACACAUGAUACAAUAAAUAGUGAUUAACAAUAAGAUUUGCCCUCCAUUAAACAUAUAAAAGUUUAACACAACAAGUAUUCCAAAAAGCUAUUACAUCAAAUGAGUGGCUUUGUGGGCAUACUUCCAACACUUACAUAAGCAUUUCAAACACUACAAGAAAAAUGGCCAUUACACACAAAAAGUUAUAUGUGCCCUAUAAGGCCUAAGGACACCAGCAUAUGUGCCCAUAGGGCAAUAGCAACAGUGUAGCAACUAAAACAUCAUGUGUGCCCUCUAUAGGUGUGCCUUUUGGUCAUUGGGCACAAUAAGGUGUUUUGUGUUGAAACAGGUGAGCACCAAUCAUGGGUUUUUGUGCCUCUGUUCUGACACCUUUGUCAGAUGACUUUUCCAAGCCAUGUUUGCCCAAUAGGUUAAAUAUAAAAAAUAAAACAUAAAACAUAAAUUCAAGAUUACAAAAUCAAACCAAAUAGUAAUACCAUCAGUAAUAAAUUAUUCUACCGGAUUUACAUGCACAUCCAAGAUACCAAUUAAAUAAGGGCAUAUCUAAAACAUGCUUCUAAAAUUUAGUUCUAAAAUCGAUUCAUACAGAUAUAUGCACCAUGUAAGCAACCAAAUCCUUUUAGUAUCUCGCCUAACAAGAAAAUAAAUGAUUCACCCAUUGUGAAAGAUUCAUGAAUAUUUACUUAAAUAUAGAUAAAGAAAAUAGCCCGUGUUGAGGCCAAAUUUGUUCUCAAUAGUUACAAAUCAAGUGAUAUAAUAUUUUUAGAGCCAGAAUUUGAUCCCAAGUGCAAACCAAUCCACAACUAUAAUGCCAGUAAAGAAAAAGACCAGCUUUUGCCUUCUCGAUGACUAGAGACUUCUUGGAUGGCAGUAAAAUAUGUGGGAGCAAAUAUAUAUAGACCACAAUUGAUCAAAUCACUCACUUGCAUUUAGAAAAUAGAUAACCCUUACAUAAUGUGGCCUGGAACAAAGCACAUGCCUGGAACAAAGCACAUAAAACAAAGAAUUGAGAUCAUCAAGCACUAGCUAAAUGAACAAUUUUGGGACAGUAAUUACAUCAUGUACAUACAAAAGUCUUUUGCUUCUCAGUAUAAUGCAAUAGUUCUUUGGUGGCAGGAUCAACAACCAACUGCCAAAACUGGUUUGAAGAUUCAGUAGAAACUUACAAAUGAACCCAAAAAUGAAGUAUGGCAUGACGAAAAAACAAGAAGAAAGGGCAUUAGGAAUAUGGGGGAGAGUUGCAACAUUAUUCAAUAGUUCAAGUUGUCUGUCAACAAACUAACCUUUUAUUACUAACAUUGUACCCAUCACCUUAUAUCCUUUAUGAGCAUCUGCAAUGACGAACAACAAGAAGCAAUAAAAGGGAAAUCUUAUCUAUAUUUCCAAGCAAUAAGCUUCCAGUUAACAUACAAGAAUACGAAACACAAAACUCACCAAGCAUGCCUGAAGUGGAAGAUUGCAACAAACAUCACCAUUCAGCAAAAAGAUAUGCAACUGUUCUAGAGGCAUAACUACAACAUCAGAGGUGCGGCUGACUCCGAAUUCAAAGGCUUUGAUGACGGCAAAGAAAUAUUGAUGAGGACCACGACUCCUCACUCCCUCUCUGACUCGCAUUUGCCGUUCCCUUACCAACACCUUCAAACCUGAUGCACCUCCCUCUAAUGAUCCUUCCCUAUUGGACUCAGAUCCCAACACGAUUUUCGAUUUAGGCUCUACAUCCACCGAUCUUCCCAAACCCGACCCACCCCCUCCCGUGAUCCCUCCCUACCAGACCCGAUCUUCCCAAACCUUCCUUCAUCACGUGCAGGGGGUUUCUGCUAGGGGAUUCUAGCGAUAUUGGAGCUUAAAAGCCCCCACAAUUUGUCUAGAGAAGGUAGAGAGAGAAAGAGGGGUAGGGGAGAGAGAGAGAGAAAGAGAGAGGUGAGAGAAAGAAUAUGAGGGAGGCAGAGUGGAAAAGGAAAGUAAAGGGAAAGAGAGAUAAAAGAGAGUAAGGCUGGGUAGUGUGUGGGUGAGGCUGCUUCUAAUACUGAGUGGGAUUGUAGGGUGUUAAUCAAUAAAAUUUAUAUUAAUACAUAAUUGUGUCCAGACUUAUGAAGGAAUACACGAACUAUUAAAACCAAAUGAUUUAAACAUACUAAACUAAAUGGCACAAAACUGUUUUCGUGCGUUCGGAAAUUAAUAAAAAAUUAUACUUACUAAUAUCCAUAAAAAGUAACACAAAUUUUAGUAUUCAAAUUUCAAUAGGCACAAUACACCUUUUUGUAGACACAAUUUAAUGUGUCUUUUUGUUCAAAAUGCACAUUUGAGAUAAUUUUGUGCUCAAUGAAACUUAAAUGGCACAAAUACAUAUAUGUGCUCAAGGGCACUAAUCAAUUGUGUUCUUAGACCAAUUUUUUUGUAGUGAAAAUAAUUGUAAAAAUCCAGCGAAAGCCAAUUGACCAGUGGAUCCAAACCCAAUCAAGUUGGUUUAUCCGUCUUAACUUCAAUCAUUGGUCUAGGUAUCACCCAAGUUCUGUGACUAUGUAAAGGGCUAGUAAGUUCUUCCGAUUCCAAGGUCUUCCAUCAUCUACUGGAGACCAUUGGGCUUAUUUGUUUCAUAUGCUGAUAUGGCACGCGGUUGUUGGAAGAUAAUUAACAAAGAUGAAGCCCCAUAUGCAUGUUUCAUGUCGCCCACGAAAUUGUAAUUUACAAAGUUGUAACUAGAAUUAUUAGAAAUAAAUGUUUGACAAAAAACAAGAUGGUUAUCUAUAGUUGGAAAUCAAGAAAACAUUCAACCCGCUUAUAAAAAUGUUAGACAAAAACGUCGGAAACACUUCGCACUUGGAAGUGUUUUUUGGAGAAGUAUAUGCAUGUCCAAAGCUAGUGCUUUCCAAAGCACUUGGAUUUACUAAAAGUUUCGAUGUGUUCUUAAUAAAUAUACUCCUAUCCUAUCACAAGUCAAUAUUUAUUCAAAGAUACCAAAUAGUUUAUUGUUUAUACAAAUGGACAAAACCCAAUAUUUUACAUGAAAUAUAGAAUUAGAAAAUUGAAAGUAUGUACCUUAAGAAACGUUUGAUAACCAUUUAAUUUUUAGUUUUCAAUUUUUAUUUUUCGAAAAACUAAAAAUUGUUGUAAGGCAUAUUACUGGAGAGUUUUAGAGAGGGUGUGACAAGCAUAAAGAGAUUUGGGUGAAUUUUGAGGUGUGAUUUCUCACCCCAUUGUGUCUUUAUUUAUAGUCGUAGAGAAGGUAAAUUCCUUACCCAGUAGGUAUUACAACUUAAACAGAAUACUUUCUAAACGAUGUGGUAGAAUCCCAUAAGAAUUUCCUAGGAUUUACACAAUCACAUUUCCCCUUGAGUGUGUAAAUACUCAAGUACAUGGCGCAUCAAGGCUUCAGCGACGGAGUAAGUUCAAUUAAAAGUCGUCGGCAUAAUGAGCAAAUGCGAGACUCAAAUUAACGGAAGAAUGCAUAAAAGCGUAAAACACAAAACCUCCCUAUGGAAAACCCCAAGGUGGGAUAAAAACCCAUAGUCUAAGGACGAACAUGAGACAUUUGCAUUAAGUUAAAACUAUACGUCUUCUAAACGAAAGUAGAAAAGACCACAAGGGUAUGACUAGUCUAGAAUGGGUGCCUCAUUAAAACCUAGUUAGGUAACAAAAACCCAGUGGAUACUCCCCCUGGGUUUGAAAAAAAUUUCAAAUGAAAACUACAAGCAUUGCAGAUGAGAUAUUUACGCAUACCAACUCCUCAGACAAAUUCUUGGAAGGUAGACUUCAGCAGUGACGUAAUUAAGAGGUUGGUAAGGUUAUUUGGGAUCAUAUUACUUGACUUCAAUCUCUUGAUGCUUUGUUGAUGUGAUGUUGAUGCAAUAUGUCUUGGCGUUGACUUCAUUGAUGUAUCAUCUCUUGGUCUAGUUGCUACAUGCAGCAGGUGAUGCGAUGUAAGUUAAGCACUCAAAUUAAACCCUCUUGUUGUCAAAUUGUAGUAUAAAUGCAAGUAGGGAUCGUUCUAAACCGGGGAUUAGGAGGGCUUGCUAAAACCUCUAAACUAACUCAAAGACAUAAAAACAAAGUUAAAAACGUUUGAAUAGACCCAAAUGACUCAAAACAGAUUCUAAAGACGCAAAACAACUUAAAAAAACACUCAAAAUUGCCUAAAAACACCUACUGGGCAUAUUUGACUCUAACACAACUUUGGACAAAAUUUGGGUUUUGACUUGAAUCAAAACACUAAAAAACACUAACGAAAUAUAAAUUUACCACUUUGAAACAACAAAGUAAAAGGGGGAUUUUGGUUUUGACGAAUUCGAAACGAACAAACAACUUAUAAAAUUAGACAGAUUGUAAAGCGAAUUUAAGAAAUGAGAUGAUGGAUGGAUUAGUUAGAGGUCUGUUUUCCACACAUGACACACUUGCAUACAAAUCAAUCUCCAAUUGCUUUUCAAUAAACUAUGAUGCUCAACACCCCAGAUUAACCGUGAUGCACAAAUUAACCCUCAGAUUUUCCUUUACUCAUUGAAUUGGAUGAAUGCAUGCGACAACCCAAAUCAUUCUCUAAAAGUCCCCUAUAUGAAUGCAUAAUAGAGAUACAAUUAAAGAUCAUUAUGUUCCAUGAAAAUCAUAAGCGUUGACGAGGCAAUUGUAACUAUGAAUGCAUGAUACGUUUGCCAAGAAUUCAAUUAACGCGAUUGUGACAAGCAACCUUUACUACUCAUGAAUAUAAACUUGUAACGAUUAGGUGAAAGUUAUUUAUAUCCUAGCAUCAAAUUCAUGCAUGAAAACUAAGUAUGCAUCCUUAAUAAACAUACACAAAUCCAUUAUGAAUAAAAUAGAUAAUUGAAUUGCAAUCACAACUUAUCAAAUCACAAUUGGAAGAAAUCAAUUCAUAUUGCAAAUAUAUUCAUGGUUUCGAAUUCUCCUCUAGCCAAAAGAGGUUUAGUUCCUCAUACUUGCAAUUAAACAGAAACAAUUGAAAUUAAACAUUGAAAACCAAAGUAAAAUACACCUAGAAUGCUCCAGCAAUCCAAAUUGAAUGACUAGCACAACUCCAAGCAAUCCUCAUUCCUUGCAAAUAUGCAGCACCAAGGUGUGAGUGGUGAAUGGAUGGUCUCUUGUGGUGGUGGAUGGAUAUAGGUGAGUUAUGGUGAAGGGUAGAGAGUUGUGUAGAUGAUGUUGUGUCUUUGGAUGAUCGCCUCCAAAUUAUGGUGAAGGGUGAAUGUAUUUAUAAGCUAGGGAGAUGAGUGUAUGGAGUUGUAAUGAGUGGAUGUAAUGGGUGUAGUGGGUGAGUGUUGUGGUAAUGAGUGGAUGUAAUGGGUGUAGUGGGUGGAUGUUUGGUAAUGAGUGGAUGUAAUGGGUGUAGUGGAUUGUGGUAAUGAGUGGAUGUAAUGGGUGUAGUGGAUGAGUAUUUGGUAAUGAGUGGAUGUAAUGGGUGCGCCUUAGUUAGUUAGUUCUUAUGCAUUUAUGUUGUGUUUUCUUAGUUAAGUUAGUCUUUUAAGUUAUUUUCAUGUGUUUUCAGGUUUUAAGGACAAAGUAAGCAAAAUGAAUUUGGAGCAUUUUGGAGCAAAAUUGGGCUAGAAUGAAGUUCAUGCACAUGAAGCACAAAGGAUGGACGAAUUUGAAGGAUUGUUGAAGCUAGGAAUGUGUUUCAAAGUUUCCUAGUUGAAGUAGGAAAGGGCUUAAAGUGAAGGAUUCCUAAUCAAUGUAGGAGUCCUAAUUGAUGAUGGAUUCCUAGACGAAUGAAGUUUCCUACUCAAGCAAGUAUUCCUACAUGAAGAAGAAGAAUUAAAGUCAAAGAAUCAGCUCAAGAGAAGGAUCUUAUCCAAAACAUUAUCCAUAACCUUAUCUUAGCUUAUCUUAUCCAAACAAACCUUAUCCUAUCCUAUCUUAUCCUAAUCCUAAAUUAUCCACAUUUCAGCCACUUAGGAGGGUUUCUAACUAGAUUAGGAUGCUUAAAAUCAGAUUUCUAGAAGACCUAAUCUUAUCCUACAAAGAUGGCGCCUAGGAGCCUUUCUAGAAGCCUAAAAAUCUGCCUUGUAUUUCUUUCUAGAAACUAUCCUUUUGCCGUGAGUUUUCACCCAUUUCCUUUAGGAUUUUGGUUUCUAGAAGCCUUAUCCUUUCACACUCUUUGUGCCGCACAUUAUCUCCCAUUCCUUUUGGGUUUUUGACUUGUUUUCCUUAUAGGAUUGUAUGUUAUUAUCCUAUGCAGUUUAGGCCUUUAAAACCUUGUCCUUGGCUACCUAGGAGAUGGGAUUUUCAGCCUAUAAAUACAAGCCUAUGACGCACCCUUUCACUCACCAUCCUCUACCAUAUUUUCACUACAUCAUUCACCCAUAAAUCCCUCAUUGUGCCGUGAAUUUGCAAGGAGAAGAAGGAAGAACUCUUGGAGCCGUGCAUGCCAUUCAAGACGUUGGAUUGUUGGAGCGAUUCUAGGUGUUUUCUAUCUUUAUGUCAAUAUUUAAAUUUAUUUAUCUUUGUUUAUUUGCGAACAUGAGGAACUAAUUUCUUUAUAGUUAGAGGGGAAUUCAAAGCCAUGAUCAUAUGUUUUAUAUAACUUGAUUUCUUCCAAUUAUGAUUUCAUGAAUCGUGAAUGUGGUUUACUUAUCUAUUUGAUUGAUAACAUGUUUGUGUAUGUUGAUUGAGGGUCGACACUUAGUUUGCAUGCAUGAAUUUGAUGCUAGAGUAUAAGGGAAUUUCACCUA